ACGGAAGGCAGCAGUGGGGAAUAUUGGGCAAUGGAGGAAACUCUGACCCAGCAACGCCGCGUGGAGGAAGAAGGUUUUCGGAUCGUAAACUCCUGUCCUUGGAGACGAGUAGAAGACGGUAUCCAAGGAGGAAGCCCCGGCUAACUACGUGCCAGCAGCCGCGGUAAUACGUAGGGGGCAAGCGUUGUCCGGAAUAAUUGGGCGUAAAGGGCGCGUAGGCGGCUCGGUAAGUCUGGAGUGAAAGUCCUGCUUUUAAGGUGGGAAUUGCUUUGGAUACUGUCGGGCUUGAGUGCAGGAGAGGUUAGUGGAAUUCCCAGUGUAGCGGUGAAAUGCGUAGAGAUUGGGAGGAACACCAGUGGCGAAGGCGACUAACUGGACUGUAACUGACGCUGAGGCGCGAAAGUGUGGGGAGCAAACAGGAUUAGAUACCCUGGUA
rnacentral:rRNA from 2 species